CAGCAAGAGGCAGCUUUGAAAUCUGCUGAUCAGACGGGUGGCAGGGGCUGUAGCAAGGAGGGAAGCGCUGGGGAAGGGUGAUUUAUGACCGGGGGGAAGGAUGAUUUAGCGCCACGGAGCACAGCCCCCCCUCCCCAGGAGGUUUUUAUUGGGAUGCCACCCUGCGAGCCGGGCGCAUCCCGAACGCACAGGCAUCACGCAUAUCUCCACUCUGCUCACAUCAUCCCCUCUGCUGCGGCUGGCUGUCCCCACCUGCCUGUGCCACCCCUGCGGGCCGCCAGUCCAACACAGAGCUCCUGGGGCCCAGCAGGCAACCAGGGCUACCCCUUUGUGCUCCAGCUCUCCUUUAUUGGAUAUUUGGGGACAUUUAGCACAAAAGCUGCACCUCCUUCCCCAGGAACACAAUGCUAAGGUAUGGUGCUGAAUGCCAAUUUUCUUGAAAGCUUCAACAAGAGAUCUCAGCUCUAACAGGGACGAGGGAAAAAAGCAUGACCCAGAGUUGCAGCCCUCCUGCAGAACAGAGCAGCCUCACUGCUUCAGAAAGUGGGGUUUUGUCAGUCCAUUAAUGAGAGUGUGAAAUAAAUAUUAGACCAGACAUUACCUUAAUUGUCAGUGGAUUGAUUUCCAAAGGCUGAAGCAAGGACAGCAGUAAAUCAGUGCAAGAGCUCCCAGCUGGACAGCCCAGGAGCUGACGGGAAGAGUGUUUGCAAAUUCAGCUCUGCUCCUCUCUGCUGGCUCUCACCCCAACAAAUGCUCUCAGCCCUUCCCACACUCCUUUAUGUUAAUGCAGUGCAGCAAAUACAGCAGGUUCACCUGCUUAUCUUGUGGUUUUCUUUCUGGCCUGAGAGAUGUGUUUCAGAAAAGCUGCCAGAAAAGGGAUCAGAAACGCACUUUGAACUACUGACAGCCAAGGUAUGUGUGUGGGACAAAAAUCCUUCCAAAAAUUCCCCUCAUCCAUCCCUCUAGUUGUUCCUUAGUGUUCAUCCCUGCCUUCUUUGCAUGAAGGAAAAAAGCUCAGGAUUGUCCAUGCUGCACCUUCAGUCCCAAUCCUGCUGCUUCACAAGAUUUCACUCCAAUUAUAAUUCAAUAAUGGUGAGAUCCUUCCAGAAUACCUCAUGGUAUCUUAACACAUGCUCUUCACCUUCCUGGGGUGAGAAGAGAACAAUCAUCUCAAGAGCAUGAUUACCAGGUUUCUUCUUCAUCAGAAGUCUCCUGUCCAUUGGGAUCUAUGCUCCAAGCCUGGGAAGGAAGACAACCUAAAUUUUAUCAACAUUACCCUAAAAGGACUUCUCCCAGCCUAUUUAUUUGAAAAACAGAUCAGUUCUUCAGCUUGAAAGCUUCUCAGCAGACAGCAAGGUAAAAAAAGCCAAGGAAAAAACAAGACAAAAAGGCACUUUUCUUCCAGGUGAUGCCCAGGGAGCCUUUGGGGAGGCAGCAGAUCUCACACACCAUUAGGAGAUGCUGAAUUUACAACACAGAGUCCAGAGCAUCAACAUGCAAGUGAAAACAAUUUCCACUAGAGCAGAUUGCUCCAACCCCAUCUGACAUGGCACUGAACACUUCCAGGGAUGGAGCAGCCACACACACCUUUCCCAUUUCUACCUCCAAACUCCUGGAGCAUCAGCACAGUCUGCGUCAGUUACGGAUGAAAAAAUCCUUAAUUAUUUCAAGAUAAAUAAUAAAUAAUUGAACUGCCAUUUCAACCA